rnacentral:rRNA from 1 species
AAGCUCGUAGUUGAAUUUCGGAAUUUGUCGGUUGGUCGGGCUUCACUGUCCGCACUGGCCUGAUAGAUUCCUACCUUCUGAAUAACCAGCAUGCUAUUAAUUUAGUGCGUUGGGGAAGCAGAGCUAUUACCUUGAAAAAAUUAGAGUGCUUAAAGCAGGCUUAUGCUUGAAUAGAUUAGCAUGGAAUAAUAAAAUAGGACGGCUUGGUUCUAUUUUGUUGGUUUCUAGGAUCACCGUAAUGAUUAAUAGGGAUAGUUGGA